rnacentral:lncRNA from 1 species
AACAAUUGAAUUCUUCCGGGGGGUAUGGUAAUUAAUUUAUUUUCUCAACUUGUUGUAAGACUAAUAUAUUUCCUUCAGUAGGCACGGCAUGGUGGGAAAGGUUUUUAUUGAAAGAAUUCUGAUAUUUCUUAGACUUUGUUUUGGAAGGGGGUGGAGGGAUUUCUCAUCCAUAUAUGGUUACUUUGGGCGUUCCACUUCCCGGACCAAAAAAUACUACCUCAAAAGUCGUAUUCACAACCCGUUUCAUCGAUGUUUGUGGUAGCAUGGAAGUUGACAGGAAGUUUCAAGUAGCAUGCUUAUCAGAAAAGGAUGCUUGGGAACUGUUUCGAGAAAAAGUUGGGGAAGAAACUCUUCAGAGUGAUCAUGAUAUCGAUGAGCUAGCCCAAAUUGUGGUCAAGAAGAUUUUAUAUCCUGAAGAUUUUGGCAUUCUUAAAUGGGACUUGAUUGAUUGUUGGUUUGGCGAGGGAUUUUUUGGGGAAUCUGAAGGGUUUGGUGCAGAAAACCAAGGAUAUGACAUUUUGGACACUCUUGUUCGUGCAUGUUUAUUAGAAGAGGUGGAAGAUGAUGAAGUAAAAAUGCAUGACGUUAUUAUUGUGGUGCACUUGCAGCAAGAUAACCAGACCGGUAUGUGCUCUUAUAUUAACUAUAUUGACUGGAUUUGUUAGUGUGCGCAUUUUUUUGUGUAUACUCACUUUUGUAUUUAUGCAUAUUAACAUGUGUAGGAUUCUUGAUUUCUGCCACUUACUGGAGAACUAGUGGAAAGCUUUAUACUGAUAUAUCUGCAAUAACUAAUGGAAACUAUGAUAUGAAUAUUUUCUCUCACCUGGGGAGCUGUGUAACAGAUAUACUUUGUGGCUCUGGAAUGCUGAAGAUUCUGCAAUAACUAAUGGAAAAUAUGAUAUGAAUAUUCUGUCUCACCUGGAGAACUUUGUUACAGAUACCCUUUGUGGCUCUGGAAUGUCUAAAGAAUGCUUCAGUUAGAUCAAAUAUCUUUUAGUUAGAAGAGAUAAAAUUCUCUGAGUCUGAAAGACUGAAACAUUUUGCAUAUUUUGUGAAAGGGAAAUAUCUGUUGAUACUAGCUCAUGCAUUGAGGUAAUAUCGAUGUUAAAGAAAAACAGCAAUGAUUUAUGAUAUAGAAUUGGGUUCACUUGCUUUAAAUGCUGGUCUGAUCAACCAUAUCAACCUGUAAUGAUUCUGCAGAAAUAUAUAUACGAGGAGAAAGUAGCUAAAUUUUUCUUUCAUUUAUGGGUUCGGUCUUUUUUCCCCUUAUUUUUCAGCUUGCCUUCUCCUGAAGUAUGUUAACAAUUGCAGAUAAUGAUGAAGAGGACAGCUUCCAGGCUCUCCUUAGAGCCGUGAUGGAAUAUAGGGGCACAAUGAAGGAAUAUUGUAAAGCUGUAGGUACUUUUUCUCCUGUCAUUUAUGUUUUCUUACACAUUUUGUAUAUGCCCUGAACAUGCACCUUUGUAUGUAUCAAUUGACUUUUAAAUUUUAAAAGCCAUAAAGUAAGAAUACGGUUCCUUGUCAGGCUACUGAUGCAUUCGCUCAGGGGGGUCAUGUUCGAGCAGGAAAAUUUCUAGAACAGGUAAGGUUUCCAUCUACAGCCAUCCAUUGACAGCAGAUACAUUUUCAUUCAGCAGACUCUGUUAGCAUUCAAGAUGCUGGCAGAUUCACUUGAUUCUUAUUAGCUUGUUUAGUGGCAAAGCCUAUAACCUGUAUUUCAAAGCCAAGUUGUGCUAUUGAUUAUGUUAACUUUUUUGUUAACAUAAAAUGAUAUGGAGGAAAUAAUCAGUGUUGGAAAAUUAGGUGAAAAGAUGAUGUCAAAUCUUGAACCUCUUACGAAACUCUAAGUUCUUUACUUGAAGAGGCUACCAAAUUUGAACAGCGUCUACUCGAAGGCCUUGCCAUUCCCUGAUGCAUGCAGAAUUUUUGUAUUUAAAUGCCCAGAGCUUAAGAAGCUGCCACUGGAUCUUGAAGGGGCAGACCAAGGUAAAAUUCUUAUCAAGGGAAAGGAAGAUUGGUGGAAACAACUUAAUGGGAGGAUCAAGUAAUUCAGAAUGCAUUGCUUCCAUUUUUUAAAUCGACUGACAAGUGAUUGAACGGGGCAUCAUCAACAUCAUCAACAGGGAUGGAGAGAUGACGGAGCAGAUCAGCAGGGUUUGAAUAUGACCUUUGGCGGUUGCCUUUUUUUUUUGUGAUUUUUUUUCAUUUUUUCCUUCCUGUCAUUUUAUCAUUUCUUUGGCUCUGUUUCUAUUGCGGGUGUUACUGCAUGCUUACUGUUGCUUGACAAAGUUUGCUAGCUUUUUGUUUGCAGUGCUGCUAUACACUCCGAGUCAAGCCCCGAAAAUUUAUUAAACGACGCCGUUUCGACAGUAACAAUUCUAUUCUUUUACCUUUGCCUGUCUCUUUCAUCUGCUGUUUCUCUAUCACUUUUCAUUUUUGAUUUCCUUGCUUCCCAGCUGCCCCUAAAUUGUUAUUCUAGCAAUAUACUUUCUCAUCUUUGAAUUUUCAUCCUUGAGUACUCCCACAGCCGUAAUUUCAUCAUUAUAGACUUCACUUGGAAUGCUGUAUUUUUUCGAUUCCUGAGCUACUUCAAUUACAUCUUAGUAUAGGAUCCUCAUCUUCCUUUAUUUCUUCAUCUUAUGAGGUAACAAAUGGAUUUCACAACUCAUCUACUUUUAAGCAAUUACAUAUUAUACCUCGAAUGAUUCAACUGUUCCGACAGUUAAAGAUUUUAUGCUCAACCUGCAGUGCUACGAACAUUGUCCAUGAAAGAUGAGUUUCAGCAUAUAAAAUGAAAUAUAGAUGUUUAAUCUAAAAUAACCCUUCACUGCCAGAAACCUAGGUCACAAAAUUCACAGAUAAUGAUAAAGAGCUAAAAAAUUUGAAAAACUCUACAGAUCACACAUCAAGCAAGAUAUCAUGUUUGUUUUCCCUCGUUCGGUGGUGAUUGAUUCGUUUUUUGAUGAUGGAUAUGGUAUAAAAGUUUUGACCCAAUUUCAAGCAAACACAAAUAGAAACGCACAAACACAAACACAAUCGGGACUAGAGUUGUGGGCGAUUAUCUCAGGUGUACAAGUGAAACGGUGGUGGCUGUCGAUGGUGGUAGUGGGGUGGUUGGGUAUGCGUGAUGGCUAGAUUUUAGGACAAUAAUGGUUGGAGUUGACCUCAAUCAACGAAGGAAAGUGACAACAAUUUUGACAUCAAACGGUGCAUUUUUUAAGAAGGCUGGACGGAGUGCAAGUGUGGGUUUCGAGGGUGGAUUCUGUUAAAACUGAAGCUGAUCAAUUUAUAAGAGACGGCUCUCGAGAAAUUGAAAAAUUAUGUGUUGGAGGCUACUGUUCCAAGAACUGCAGGUCAAGCUACAAUUUCGGAAAACAAGUGGCUAAAAAGCUACGAGAUGUGGAGACUUUAAUCGCCGAAGGAGUUUUUGAGGCGGUGGCUACCGAGGUGGUGGCUGACAGAGCUCCAGAGUCUGUAGCAGAUGAAAGACCUACUGAGCGAACAGUAGUAGGCUUGCAAUCACAACUUGAACAAGUCUGGAGAUGUCUUGUAGAAGAAUCAGCGGGAAUCAUUGGCCUAUAUGGUAUGGGCGGUGUUGGUAAAACUACACUACUGACCCAUAUCAACAAUAAAUUUCUCGAGAGUCCAACCAACUUUGAUUGUGUGAUUUGGGUUGUAGUUUCAAAAGACCUGCGACUCGAAAAAAUUCAAGAAGAUAUUGGGAAAAAGAUAGGUUUGGUUGGUGAUUCAUGGAAGAGUAAAAGUGUAGAGGAGAAAGCUGUCGACAUCUUCCGGAGUUUAAGAGAGAGAAGAUUUGUAUUGUUGUUAGAUGAUAUAUGGGAGCGGGUUGAUUUAACAAAGGUGGGCGUUCCACUUCCCGGACCAAAAAAUACUACCUCAAAAGUCGUAUUCACAACCCGUUUCAUCGAUGUUUGUGGUAGCAUGGAAGUUGACAGGAAGUUUCAAGUAGCAUGCUUAUCAGAAAAGGAUGCUUGGGAACUGUUUCGAGAAAAAGUUGGGGAAGAAACUCUUCAGAGUCAUCAUGAUAUCGUUGAGCUAGCCCAAAUUGUGGUCAAAGAGUGUGGUGGUUUGCCACUCGCACUUAUUACUAUUGGUCGAGCUAUGGCCUACAGAAAGAAAGCGGAGCAGUGGAGACGUGCAAUUGAAGAGUUAAGGAGAUCAGCUUCAGAGUUUGCAGGUUUGGGAAAAGAGGUGUAUCCUCUUUUAAAAUUCAGCUAUGAUAGUUUGCAGAAUGAUACGGUUAGAUCUUGUUUCUUGUACUGUUGUUUAUAUCCUGAAGAUUGGAAUCUCACAGCUUUGGUGCAGAAAACCAAGGAUACUACAUUGUGGGCACUCUUGUUCGUGCAUGUUUAUUAGAAG